AUUGAACGCUGGCGGCAGGCUUAACACAUGCAAGUCGAACGAAGUCUUCGGACUUAGUGGCGCACGGGUGAGUAACACGUGGGAAUAUACCUCUCAGUGGGGGAUAACGUCGGGAAACUGACGCUAAUACCGCAUACGCCCUUCGGGAAGGAUUAUCGCUGAGAGAUUAGCCCGCGUCCGAUUAGCUAGUUGGUGAGGUAAUGGCUCACCAAGGCUACGAUCGGUAGCUGGUCUGAGAGGAUGAUCAGCCACACUGGGACUGAGACACGGCCCAGACUCCUACGGGAGGCAGCAGUGGGGAAUAUUGGACAAUGGGCGAAAGGCCUGAUCCAGCAAUGCCGCGUGAGUGAUGAAGGCCUUAGGGUUGUAAAGCUCUUUUACUGGGGGAUGAUAAUGACAGUAUCGGGAGAAUAAGCUCCGGCUAAACUCCGUGCCAGCAGCCGCGGUAAU
rnacentral:rRNA from 1 species